rnacentral:ncRNA from 1 species
GUCCGGCGGGUCGGUUAGGCUGGCGGGCACUGAACCUGCGCAGGGGAACCCGGUGAGAUUCCGGGACUGACCCGCAGCCGUGAACGCCAGCGAUGGCGCAGUCGGAAUGCCUGGCCGGUUCGGCUCUGCAACA